UGACAACUCAGUGACACCAGGUAAACCCCA
rnacentral:piRNA from 1 species